rnacentral:rRNA from 1 species
UUUAUGGAGAGUUUGAUCCUGGCUCAGGAUGAACGCUGGCGGCGUGCCUAAUACAUGCAAGUCGAGCGAACAGAUAAGGAGCUUGCUCCUUUGACGUUAGCGGCGGACGGGUGAGUAACACGUGGGUAACCUACCUAUAAGACUGGAAUAACUCCGGGAAACCGGGGCUAAUGCCGGAUAACAUGUUGAACCGCAUGGUUCUACAGUGAAAGACGGUCUUGCUGUCACUUAUAGAUGGACCCGCGCCGUAUUAGCUAGUUGGUAGGGUAACGGCCUACCAAGGCGACGAUACGUAGCCGACCUGAGAGGGUGAUCGGCCACACUGGAACUGAGACACGGUCCAGACUCCUACGGGAGGCAGCAGUAGGG